rnacentral:rRNA from 1 species
GACGAACGCUGGCGGCGUGCUUAACACAUGCAAGUCGAACGGAAAGGCCUGCUUUCCCUUGUGGAUUGCGGGUACUCGAGUGGCGAACGGGUGAGUAACACGUGAGUGAUCUGCCCCCAACUUGGGUAUAAGCCUGGGAAACUGGGUCUAAUUCCCGAUAGGACUGCAGGGUGGUGCCUGUGGUGGAAAACGAUUUUCUAGUGGUUGGGGAUGAGCUCGCGGCCUAUCAGCUUGUUGGUGGGGUAAUGGCCUACCAAGGCGGCGACGGGUAGCCGGCCUGGGAGGGUGGACGGCCACAUUGGGACUGAGAUACGGCCCAGACUCCUACGGGAGGCAGCAGUGGGGAAUAUUGCACAAUGGGCGGAAGCCUGAUGCAGCGACGCCGCGUGGGGGAUGACGGCCUUCGGGUUGUAAACUCCUUUCGACCUCGAGGAAGCCACCUGGUUGGAAGGGUGGUGACGGUAGUGGUAGAAGAAGCACCGGCUAACUACGUG